GAGUAGACUGAGCCGUAGAAAAUGCCUUUUCUAUUAGGUUAGUUGUACCUGGGGCUUCCCACAAAGUUAUCUGCUGAUGUCAGACCAGCCCUGAGGAGAUGAAAGGAUAAAAGGAGGGUAAGCAGGGAAUGCCCAGAGGAGCAUAAGUGGAGGAGAAUCGGAACCAGAGUCAAGAUGGGAACAAAGAUCACAGCGAGGAUAGGCAAGCUGGGUCUGUAAUCCAGAGCACACACAACAAGGUCAGAAGUGAGGGUCUGGUACCUGGAGAGGUUCAAACCAGAGUUCUAUGGAUUCAAUUUUGGUGAAGAAAAUCUUCACCAAAGUUUAGCUAGAGAGCUGAUUUUUCCUUGUCCAUGACACUGGACCAUAGAACUUCUCAUAACUGAGACAGCAGGACUGAGUCCAUUGCCAGAGUCAGACCUUCUAAAGAAGCGGAAUAACCAGUGCAUGACAAGUGUCACCUGAGAGAAAGAUGUGACCAAGGAGGUCAUGGACCUAGCAUAAAAUGGAUAGGAAGGGGUCUAACAUGACCCAGGUCUGCCACUAAUAAAUAGCUGACCAAAGAGAAAGAGAGACCCUGGAGGUCCAUAAUGAAGGCAGCGUGGCAAGGUGAUUGUGAAGACGACAUGAGGAGGGAGAAAGAAGAGAUCAAUGUGAUUAUCCCUGGGAGGAGCAGGUAGACAUUGAUUUAAAGGAUUAGGACAAGAACUGAGCUGACCCUUGUAACACCCUUUCAAGGAAGCAGAAAUAGAAGCUCUGACCACAAACUUGGGCUGACGUUUGCAGUCUGAAAAUGUACAGCUAAUCCACGCUAUUAUUACUUCUGAGCAUUAACCACUAAGUAGCAAUGGAAUUUUGAGAUUUUUAUAGC
rnacentral:lncRNA from 1 species